AUUUGAAUGGGUUUUAGAAUAUUCUAAAACUGAAGACAGGAGGAUUAGAAAUAAAGUCAUCACCUCAAGACCUCUCAGAUUUAUCCUGGUAUGUAGCACUCGGUUUCUCUUUGUUCAUUUUAUUUAUUUAGAGUUGACAUCUAAAGGCCAAGACGACAGCUCUGAUUUUUUUAAUUGAUUUUUUUUCCUUUUGGACUUCAUCUCUGCUUUCUUGGCUCAUUCCAACCACACUACCACACUGCUGUCUUGCGAAACACAAAUGAAAAAGCAGCAUAAAAAGCCAGCUGUCACAGGCUGUUUAUACAUCACGGAGUGCUAAUACAUUUUAGCGCCGAAUCCGUCUCCCAUGUCUUAUUGUCGCCUGCUUUUGUCAUAACUGCAGAGACAGCAGAAACAGAGGCAGAAAACCACUUUGGGGGGGAAAAGUUUACGGCACAAUGGCACCCACUGUGUUGCUGGAGCUCCCACUUCCCGAGAGAAUUUCAUGCCUUUCGUCUCUAUUGUAUUAAUUUUCAUGCCUGAAAUUCUCUUUUUCUCAAGGACACUAUAAUGGAUGCAAUUGGAUGUAAAGAAUGGCUCAUUUUCAGCGUGGGGUCGUUGGUAGGUUACAGUCGGAUUGCACGCUCGAGGAGACUGAAGCGCCGACUCUCACCUGCUUCCAGCUCUAUUAUCGUGGUGCCAGAUGGUUGAGCGGAGGUUUUCACAAAGUGACAUGGCUCUCCUUGUUCCUUUAUGGUGCCGGGGUCACCUUACCAUCGGCUCUCAUUUCAGGUGACAGCAAGAAGAUGGAUGGAGCAGGGGAUUCUGGGAUGGGUAGUUUUUUUGUUUUUCCUGGAUGUCGGUACGUUUUCCUCAAGGUCUUGGUGAGAUUGCGUUGACUACCAUUGCAGUGUGACUCCAGAGGCAGAGGUCACACCCAAAUCAGUGUCUACUGAGUGAUGCAGAAAGUAGGACACUGGAGAGCAGUUUGCUGAAGUGCUGGUUUGCCCCUCGUGACGCUGAACUCAUUAAUAUGACAGAUUACCACGGUAACUUCAGGAGGUCGUUAGGCUCGGCGGUUUUAGGAUGAGGUCACAGCGAGAGACGAUCUCGCUCGCAGUACGAGAACGACACUGAGUGUUGAAUAUAAAAAUAAAAAUAAACAGACACCAAACCACCUACUGCGCUUCAGUCCUACAUAUCUCAGCUGGAAUGAAAACAGAGUUUCAGUGGGCUGGACCGUCAGUGGAAGAAGAAACUUCACAAAGAGAACGAGACAGACUAUCACGAUCUUGAUGUCUGCACAAUACCAGGUAACCUAUCUGAAGUGACCAUCACAGGGCGUGAACAACCUGGUCAGCUCACCUUAGGAAACACCCGUACAGCUGCUUUUCUCAUGUUUGUAUUUUACACUGAAACUAUUUCCUCAAAUCACUGGUCACUGACCUAUUUACAUGCAGUCAUGGAAUUUUCUGUUACAAAACAGAGGCGGACACCAGAUGGAAAUAUCUCAGCAACUAUUACGUGGUUUGUUGUGAAAUCUUGUACAGACAUUCAUGGUGGCCCAAGGAUGAAUCCUGGUGACUUGGGUGGGAAUUUAUGUCCCAUAGACCCAUCAGAAUCAACUUGGACCUGUGGACAAAAAAAAAAUGGAAAACUGUGUUUGUGGUGUCUGGAAGGUGAUAUAAUCAAGACUUUAGUGUGUGGGUUACCGGAGAUGGUAAAUAUGGUGAACUUUCAACCACCUCAAUGAGUGUUUCUUCAUCUGACCAUUUCAACAUGUUGACAUUUAGUGUUUAAAAUGUAGAACGUAACCUGAUGAAAAUAUAGCACAGCAGCCACGGGAGCAUUUCUAGAAACUGAAUACAAAACAUGCAAAAAAAAAUUUUCUUUUUUUUUAGUUUGCAAAGCCUAAACUGUGAUGAUUUUUUUGUGCAAAACUUAGAAUGUGUUUCCAUUACAGCUGUUUUUCUUAUGUUUAUACUUUACACUGAAACAAUUUCCACAGAUCACCAAUCAUUGAUGUAUUAACACGGAACCAUGUAGCAUUUUCCAAAAUAGGAACUUUCCAGGACAAGAUAAAAAGAAACAGAGCGAAACAAACAGUUCACUUGAGGCCACUUGGACAUUCAGGGGAAGUCGUCUCUAUAUAAUCUGUGCAUACACACUGCAGAUACAAACUGUGGGCUGCACGACGAUGUCCUCAGAGGGGUUUGCAUGGACUUUUGUGGACUUGGAGAAAGGAAGAACUUUAUGUACCCAGCAGAACCAAUGGACUCUCUUGUACUUGCGCAUGUAGAAAAGGUAAUACUGGCCCUAGACUGUUUACAGCACUUCCACUUCAUGAUUUGAACGAAUGUUUGCAUGCUAAUUUGCUAAUCUGAGAUGAUGAACAUGGUAACCGGACCACCUGAUCCUUCUGCGCACUUAAGUUUAAUGUUUUAAGACUCAGAAUGUAACAUGGUGAAAAUAUAAUACAACAGCCGCUGAAAUAUUUCCAAAAACCAAACACAAAACAUUUCAAUUUUCAAUUCAAUUUUAUUUAUAUAGCGCCAAUUACAGUCAAAUUGUCUCAAGAUGCUUUACAGAACCCAUAUGCCUGACACAUUUAAUUUGUUCAUUUAUUUUUAAGUUUCAACAGUGACGUGUUACAUUUCGGCACAUUUUGCAGUUCCUCCAUGGUGAAGAAGUUCAGGAUGUCAUUAAAAUCGCUACUAUCAUUUCACAGCAGCCACACCCUUAGGUUCCAUUUAUCUUGAAUACACCAACGCACUGACCGGCAUCGGUUUCACUGCUUGGCCUCCUGCAUGUAGAACAAUUAUGCAGAUCUUCAAAACUGUUUCAUGCUAAUGGUCUUUAAAGAGAACUGGGUGACUGAGGCCUCCAGCUACUCUGAUAGUAUAUCACAAAAUGAAUCCCUGAACAAAGCCAGACUAAAGGAAAAGUAAAAGUACCCAAUGCUCUCUGGUGGGUAAAGACCAGCUUGUAGACAUGAAUCCCACACUGAAAACAUGUUUUAAUAAAACCCCUUGAAUGAGAACAUAUAUCACACACAAGACAUUAAAAGAAAUGUUCCAAAUGAGAAUCAAAUGCUUCUUACAUGGAAAAUACUUUCAAGUUAUAAGGAAACCACUAAAUGACCUCAGUGAAGAUUCUGAUAUAAGAUUUCAGUAUUUUCACAUCUCUUCCUGCUUCACUGCCCUUUAUAAUUGCUUGCGAUGGUUGGCUACGUAUUAAUUUUUAACAAGUUUGUAUAUGAGGAUAUGUAAGGGUGUAAGAAAAACACUAAUGCAUCAAAAUCCAUCAGUCUGACUUUGAUCCAUCUGAAAAGUCUGGAUCGAUAAAAAGUGAUUAAUAUUGUAUUAAGGUGUUUCUUUUUAUCGACUGACUACUGUCUGCAGGCUGUGAGCUACAUGCUGAGCUGCUGCUGACUGAAGAUAAAGUUUUGAACUCAUACUCAGCUGGCAGUUUAUUAGCUACACCAGAGUUCAACAACAGCAGGCUAAUGCAACAGUCGACAUCAUCCAAAAUGAUGGUGACGGUUUGAAACAAUACUUCUCCACACCAGCUUCAAUUCAAUUUUGGCUUAAUUUUUAUUUAUAUGGCGCCAAUUCCAAGUCAUCCCAGGGCACUUCUCAAUAGCAAGCCCAAGAUUUUAUAUAAUAUUAUGGUGAAAACCCCCACAAAUCCAAACAACUCCCUUUGAACAAGCACUUUAGCAACAGUGGGAAGAAAAACUCCGGCAGAACCAGGCUUGGGGAGGGCAGCCAUCUGCCUCAACCAGCUGGGGUGAGGGUAGAAUAGGAUUCAUGAGGACAGAAUUUAUUGCAGGACUAUUAGUUUUAGCUUGGCUUAGCUUGUUUAAUUUCAAUGACCUUUUCUUUGUUGUUACUUGUAACAUCUAUACAGCUGUAGUACAUCUAGAAAGUAUCACAUAUACUGACUCAAAAAUAAUCUUGGGAAAGAUGGUGCACUAUUGAAAGUUGAAGAAACACUUACUGCUGGAUUAAAGUAACUCAUCGCUCAUGCAUGAAACACCUUUCUCAAAAAAUAAUCAACAAACAUCUGUUAGUAAGACAGACUGUGUUUACGUCUUGUUUUAUGUGAGUAUAUGUGUAAUAAAAGCACAGAAAUCUUUAUGUGUGACUUGGAAAAAAAAAACAAGGAUGUCUUACUGUCAUAAAUGUUAUACAGUAAUGUCAGUUCCAUGACAGUAUCUUUCUAAUAUUGACUAUACUGAGCUACCGAUCAUACUAGAGCAGGUAAAGCUGUAAACAGCAGCAAAUCUCCUGCUGAACUGAGAACUUACCUGUGAAUUUGACUUCUAAUUUGUCGGAGAAUAAAUAUGUAAUGUCUUCUUUCAAAACCUGCUUUCUUGUGAGUCCUUGGCACAGGUUCCACCAGUCUAUGAGC
ensembl:lncRNA